ACCAUCACAGCCAUCUGCUUUGUGACAGCUCAGUCACAGCUAUGACCACCGUGUUGGGGACUAGAAAGUUUCCAGAUAGAUAGAGACAAGAAGAUGGGCUUAAGGAAAAUGUCACAGCUCUUGUAAAAAUACCCUGACCUUUUAUAGCCAAUGCUGAUGUGUAAAUACGACUUAAACAAGAGAGCAGGUGUUCAGUGGGACAGUCUGCAGGACACGCUCUCAUUGCUGACCCUGCAUCCUUGGAGUGGCAGUGGAUCUUCCCAGGUGAAUUUGAAGGCUUUUUGGAACACAAGCCCCAGAAGAAAGAAAUCCACUUUUUAAUUAGAGCUGCAGCAGUUUAUAUAUCUAAGUCUGGCAGUGGAGGCUCAGCCGCGCCGCGACAGCAGCAGCAAUAUGGGCUCAGUGGAGGUGCUGACGUCUCAGAGCAGUGAGGAGAUCUCACCAGAGCAACGUCUACCUUCAGGUAUCGGCUCUUCCAUGAGGGAAAAGAAUGCUUUGGGAAGCCCUGUUUCACCCUCCUUAGCCAGAGGUUAACACGCUCAUUCUACCCCUGUGGAAGUGGAGUUGGAAGAUUUUUGAGGUGCUCCCCUGGACCAGAUGUGGCACCCCUUGCCCCACGUCCUGAUGACCUUUUCCUCAGCCUGUGGUUUGUGCCCGUGACUGCCACAUCCUCGGCGAGCAGGGAUUACCUUUUGCAAUCAGAUGUUAUAAAUGGAGCACACUUAAUCAGCCUUUCUCGUGGCUGUCGCCCUUAUGACAGAGGAAAAUAUUCUCCCGUCGUGUAUUUAUUAACAUUCUGCAUACAACAUCCAGAGCAGAGUAUCCCUCUGUCACCAGAUGCUGCUGGAAUCUUGCCGCCCGGGCGGGCAGGAGGACUCAGCCUGGAGCGGGAGGUGAGGACCCUGUUAGCAGGGUGCCUGCAAGGGGAGGGAGGCAGUCAGCAGCCAGCCUGUCUUCAUCCCUGAUGUGCUCUGCCCCAGCCCAGGCAAGCAGGUUUCUCUUCCUGAAAUGGGCAUUUGAAACAGAGUUGGAGGAGCAGCAGGCAACUGGCAAAAAUAUCAGGUGCACUCAGCUGAGCAAAGCAUGGCAAUAUCAGCCCUGAUGAGAUGAGUGAGCUCUGGGCUCUGGAGACAAAGAACAAAAACCUGCUGUUGGACACAAGUUUGAGAGGAGUGAAGAACAAGGUUUUGUAUAUCCAACAGAAAUAACAUUUCAGACCUACAAUAACACAUAGCUUUAAACUGAGCAGAGAGUUCAAGCUACUAAUAUAUCUCAUUGUCAUAUUUCUUCUAGGUUUGCUUUGUGCUGAAGGGAUACUGUCAAAGGGCCUAAGCCAGAACCUUCAGGUUUAUAAAACAAAAGGGGCCUUUAAUUUAUAUUUUUUUUAUCAUUUCAAUAAAAUAAUAUGUCCAUUGCUUGUUUAAAUAUUG
ensembl:lncRNA